CACGCCGCCGUCCGAAGCUCCCACGCCGCAGUCGCGCAACUCCCUCGCCGCCGUCAGCUCCCACGCCGCCGUCAACUCGCAAAUCCCACGAAGUCAUCCGCAAAGUCCCUCGCCGCAGUCAAUUCACCGACGUCCCAUUAAUCCUAGAGAAGUGUUGUACCUAGCGCCCUCGCCUAACCAAAUCCCUAAAGGUCCCACGCCGAAAACUUGCGAGUCCCUCGCCGCCGUCAGUUCGAUUGGUAUCCCACGCCGCAGUCAAAGCUUACAAGUCCCACGCCGCCGUCAUAAUGUAGCUCAAAUGUUGUCCCAAAAUUUCAGAAAGUAUAUUCUCAAUGCUCAAAAAAA